GUUGUGGCUCAGUGGUAGAGCACUUGCCUUGCACAUGUGAGGCACUGGGUUUGAUCCUCAGCAUCACA
rnacentral:tRNA from 1 species